rnacentral:rRNA from 1 species
GAUGAACGCUGGCGGCGUGCCUAAUGCAUGCAAGUCGAGCGAACGGACGAGAAGCUUGCUUUUCUGAUGUUAGCGGCGGACGGGUGAGUAACACGUGGAUAACCUACCUAUAAGACUGGGAUAACUUCGGGAAACCGGAGCUAAUACCGGAUAAUAUUUUGAACCGCAUGGUUCAAAAGUGAAAGACGGUCUUGCUGUCACUUAUAGAUGGAUCCGCGCUGCAUUAGCUAGUUGGUAAGGUAACGGCUUACCAAGGCAACGAUGCAUAGCCGACCUGAGAGGGUGAUCGGCCACACUGGAACUGAGACACGGUCCAGACUCCUACGGGAGGCAGCAGUAGGGAACCUUCCGCAAUGGGCGAAAGCCUGACGGAGCAACGCCGCGUGAGUGAUGAAGGUCUUCGGAUCGUAAAACUCUGUUAUUAGGGAAGAACAUAUGUGUAAGUAACUGUGCACAUCUUGACGGUACCUAAUCAGAAAGCCACGGCUAACUACGUG